rnacentral:lncRNA from 1 species
UUAAGAUAAAAACAUAAAGUCUUGAAUUAAAAACUAGGAGUCAAUCAGUUUUUUCAUCCAUCCAAUACAAAGAUAUCUAACCUAGCAUAUUAAUGUAGGAAAAACAGAAAAAAUAAAAGAACGACAUCACCUGAAUCAUUAAAGUAUGAAAAAAAUUUGAAAUCCUCCACUUUAUGCCUUCAAUUUCGUAUCCAAGUGAUGAAAUCUUAUUCUUCAAUGUAUAUCCCGCUCUCUUUUCCUCUUUGUCGACUUCUAAUAUGAUAAAAAUUAGGUUCCCUGUGUUUUUGUCGACUUUUGGUAUAAAUAUCGUAUAAAGAAUUGCAACCAAGACUUUCCAAAACAGACUUUUUUUGUCAGAAUUAAACCAUGCGUACGCAUGGUACAUUUUUGUGUGUACGCAUAGUGGCAUCAAUUUAGCUUCGGAAGUUAAAUUUUCCAAUCAUGCGUACGCACGACCUGCAAGCCUAUGCGUACAAACAGUACAACUAUUUUAGGGGCCAAUUUGCAAUUUGAUCCCUAAACUUUCUGAAGUGUGUUUUGGUUCUUUCCCAAAAUUUCUUAUCCCAUUAGCUUCUCUUCAACUCCAAUUGACUCUUGGUGUUCUCAACUCAUCGUUCUUUGGUCCCAUUCAACUUUUGGAUUAUUGCAUUCUAGUCCUCCCAACUUUGCCUUGAUGUAAUUGAGUCAUUUUUCCUGCUUAUUUUCUUCAUUCUCGUAUCUUCCAUUGAUUGUAACCUACACAC